AUGGGACACACACACAGGAUGAUGGCCACUCACAGCCUGCAGACCACACCCACUAUCCAGAUCUCCUUCAACCCCCGCCAAUCAAGCGUCUCUACCCCAUCCCUCUCGUCCAAUCAUGAGGAAGGGGAGCCAGGCGCCAUCAAGGGAUUUGGUGGAACAGAUUCUGUGAAGUGUACACUGCUGAAUGGCCAUUUGAAGUGUUCUCGAUCUCUCAGCCAUAUCAGUGAGAGAGCCAUAGACUGUGCUUCGACUAACAGGUUGUCUGACCAAUCAGUUGAGUCCUCUGAAACGCCAAAGCCCCUACCCCGCUUAGACCUUGAAGUCUCCUGUGUGGCUUCUCACUGCUCUAACCAGGACAUGCAUGAAGCCUUGGACUUGCCUGAAUCUGGGGGCCCAGAGUCAUGUGUUUCAACCCCAGUGGAUCAGGGUGAUGCUCCUCUGGCCUCAACACUACAGGCUGAGAAGCCUAGAGCUGGAGUAGAGCCUCUUCCCACAGACCGUGUACUGGGAGAGGGACUGAGGGAGGAAAAGUCCUCCACGGAACACAAUCACAGACUCCAAUCUACCCAGCCACAAGAGCUAACACUACCAGAAGAGACAGUGACUGGUCGAUCUCACAGUCGGUCCUCCAGCUUCACUCAGGAAGUUGAGACUGCCCUGGAGAGCUUUGAUUUUCUCAACUGCUCUGACCUUGAUGAUGAAGAAGAGGAGGAAGAAGAUGAACAGGAGAGGGAUGAGAAGGAGAAGGAACAAGAGAAGGAAGACAAGACAAGGGACUCUGCUCAUAGCAGUGAUGCGUGUGAGGACGAUGUUAUAGAAAUCAUUGUCGAGGCCCCUGAAGGCUUCCGGAAUGAGGACUGUCCUCCUCUAGAUGCAGACUGCAGCUCUGAGGAGGAGGAGAGUAGCGAGCAGCUGCAGGCCUCCAGUGAGACAAAGGACAAGCAGGAGGAAGAGAAGGAGAAGAAAGUGGAAGACAAGAAGAAGGAGGAGGAGGAGGAGCAGGUUACAGAGACGGACAUCCCUGCCAGGCAGGAGCAUGGUGAUGAGGCAUCCUGUGUUGAGGAACCCUGCUCCACCCCCAGCAGUAUGGCCACCACUGUCCUUUAACAUAAUGGAGAUGCCACUUCUUCAGACCAUUAUCAGAUGCCAUCCUAAUCCCACCACUCUAAGAGAUCCUUACCAUUUCACCACUAACAGAUGAAAGAGCCUCUUCUAGAUCAGACAAGCGAUUUCUGCCAUGGAGGUGGAGAUUGCGCAAAUGAACAGAAAUAUAUUUGCUUCCCUCUCUCCACUCGUGAUUGAAAACAUUAAUGACUAUUGUUGUCCACUCAUCCAAAGGCCACAUGUAAACACACAGUCACCUUACAGUGAAGAUAGACAUCUUUAGUCUAAUGGAGCCUCUUCAAUAAGAAAGUGCCUCAAGUUACAGAAAGGGGGAUUGUCAGUUAACGAAUACAUGAAGAAAAUGAACUUUUAUUACUAACCAGAGAAGAAUAUGAAUGAGUAUACAGAGUUUGAUACAUUGUUUAUUUUCAGGAUGACUUACAGAUUGUGCACUAUAAAAGAUACAAUUAUUUACUGUUUCAUAUAAAUAAAUAAUGUUGAGCAAAUAUGUUGCCUGC
ensembl:lncRNA